AGCAACUUCCAGUCCUGCAAGCUUCAUUCCUGGAUGGUAGAAAGCAGUCUUCAGCCUGAGACCCAUCCCUAGACUCUAUGGCACAAAGAGGCACUACAGUAAAUCCCAGAAUUUAUUCUGACUGAAGCAAUAUGCAACUGGCAAAACUGGCAGCUGAAAGGAUCCUGAAUCAGAAGGAUUUUAAAUGCCGUUUUGGCACAGGAUAUCAGAGCACAAGCAUGGUGAAGAGGAAUCUGUGUCAGGAAGAAGGUGGAAAAGAUGUGACAUUGGUUAAACAGAGAAUUGAUAAAAUAAGAAAACAAGUUGAAAAAAUAAAAC